CAGGCCUACUAAUUCAACACAUAUCAGACCUACUAAUUCUACACAUAUUAGGUCUACUAAUUCUAUUAGGCCUACUAAUUCAACACAUAUUAGGCCUACUAAUUAUAUUAGGCCUACUAAUUCUACACGUAUUAAGUCUACUAAUUCUAUUAGGCCUACUAAUUCUAUUAAGCCUACUAAUUCUAUUAGGCCUACUAAUUCUACACGUAUUAAGUCUACUAAUUCUAUUAAGCCUACUAAUUCCAUUAGGCCUACUAAUUCUACACAUAUUAAGUCUACUAAUUCUAUUAGGCCUACUAAUUCUAUUAAGCCUACUAAUUCUAUUAGGCCUACAAAUUCAGCACAUAUUAGGCCUACUAAUUCUAUUAAGCCUUACUAAUUCUAUUAGGCCUACUAAUUCUACACGUAUUAAGUCAACUAAUUCUAUUAGGCCUACUAAUUAUAUUAAGGCAACUAAUUCUAUUAGGCCUACUAAUUCUACACGUAUUAAGCCUACUAAUUCUACACAUAUUAGGCCAACUAAUUCUAUUAGGCCUACUAAUUCUACACGUAUUAAGUCUACUAAUUCUACACAUAUCAGGCCUACAAAUUCAACACAUAUCAGACCUACUAAUUCUACACAUAUCAGGCCUACUAAUUCUACACAUAUUAGGCCUACAAAUUCUAUUAAGCCUACUAUUUCCAUUAGGCCUACUAAUUCUACACAUAUUAAGUCUACUAAUUCUAUUAGGCCUAUUAAUUCUACACAUAUUAGGCCUACUAAUUCUAUUAGGCCUACUAAUUC
rnacentral:lncRNA from 13 species